rnacentral:rRNA from 1 species
CACGUAGGGGGCAAGCGUUGUCCGGAUUUAUUGGGCGUAAAGAGCUCGUAGGCGUCUGUCACGUCUGCUGUGAAAACUCGGGGCUUAACCCCGGGCCUGCAGUGGGUACGGGCAGACUAGAGUGCGGUAGGGGAGACUGGAAUUCCUGGUGUAGCGGUGAAAUGCGCAGAUAUCGGGAGGAACACCAAUGGCAAAGGCAGCUCGCUGGGACGUGACUGACGCUGAGACGCGAAAGCGUGGGGAGCAAACAGG